CCUACGGGGGGCUGCAGUGAGGAAUAUUGGUCAAUGGACGGAAGUCUGAACCAGCCAUGCCGCGUGCAGGAAGACGGCUCUAUGAGUUGUAAACUGCUUUUGUACAAGGGUAAACCUGAAUACGUGUAUUCAGCUGAAAGUACUGUACGAAUAAGGAUCGGCUAACUCCGUGCCAGCAGCCGCGGUAAUACGGAGGAUCCAAGCGUUAUCCGGAUUUAUUGGGUUUAAAGGGUGCGUAGGCGGAUUGAUAAGUUAGAGGUGAAAUGUCCGAGCUUAACUCGGGAACUGCCUCUAAUACUGUUGUUCUAGAGAGUAGAUGCGGUAGGCGGAAUGUAUGGUGUAGCGGUGAAAUGCUUAGAGAUCAUACAGAACACCGAUUGCGAAGGCAGCUUACCAAUCUAUAUCUGACGUUGAGGCACGAAAGCGUGGGGAUCAAACAGGAUUAGAUACCCGAGUAGUC
rnacentral:rRNA from 1 species